rnacentral:rRNA from 1 species
UGGGGAAUCUUGGACAAUGGGCGCAAGCCUGAUCCAGCCAUGCCGCGUGGAUGAUGAAGGCCUUAGGGUUGUAAAAUCCUUUCGUUGGGGACGAUAAUGACGGUACCCAAAGAAGAAGCUCCGGCUAACUUCGUGCCAGCAGCCGCGGUAAUACGAAGGGGGCUAGCGUUGUUCGGAUUUACUGGGCGUAAAGCGCGUGUAGGCGGACUUGUAAGUUGGGGGUGAAAUCCCGAGGCUCAACCUCGGAACUGCCUCCAAAACUACAAAUCUGGACCUAAGUAGAGGCAAGUGGAAUUGCGAGUGUAGAGGUGAAAUUCGUAGAUAUUCGCAGGAACACCAGUGGCGAAGGCGACUUGCUGGACUUAUGGUGACGCUGAGACGCGAAAGCGUGGGGAGCAAACAGGAUUAGAUACCCCGGUAGUCCCUGAGCGGGCUGGCAAGGCGCAU